rnacentral:piRNA from 1 species
UGUGGAAUAGAACUUGCUUGACAGAAAA